rnacentral:lncRNA from 1 species
GUGUGUUCUUAUCUUAGGUUGUGUUUAAAAGACAGAGACAAAAGGAGAUGAGUGGAGCUACUUCUACAUGUUCUUUCAUUGAGUCUCCAUGUGCAGCAGUACACACAUCCUCUGUGUCUAACAAAGGAAAUAUUUAUGUUUUAUGUAGUAGUGGAUCUCUCCUGGAGGAGAUGGUCUCCGAAGAUAACAGGCUUCACACUGAUCAACGGAAUGAUAAACCCAGUUCAUUAACAGUGCUCACAAUGAGAUGUUGCAAAACAUUGUCCGCGACAGUGUGCAACCAAGGGAGAAAUGCAUUAUCGUGAUGGACACAGGUGAUCAGAACGCGUGGGCUGUGAAGAAAACAGCACGGGAAUGUCAGGAGCACGGCUG